GACUUAGAGUGCUUAAGCAGGCUAUCCGCCUGAAUAAUGUUGCAUGGAAUAAUAGAAUAGGACCUCGGUUCUAUUUUGUUGGUUUUGUAGAGCAUUGAGGUAAUGAUUAAUAGGGACAGACGGGGGCAUUCGUAUUGCGGUGUUAGAGGUGAAAUUCUUGGAUCGCCGCAAGACGAACAACUGCGAAAGCAUUUGCCAAGAAUGUUUUCAUUAAUCAAGAACGAAAGUUGGAGGUUCGAAGACGAUUAGAUACCGUCCUAGUUCCAACCAUAAACGAUGCCAACUAGCGAUUAGCCGCUGUUAAUCAAACGACACGGCUAGCAGCUUCCGGGAAACCAAAGUUUUUGGGUUCCGGGGGAAGUAUGGUUGCAAAGCUGAAACUUAAAGGAAUUGACGGAAGGGCACCACCAGGAGUGGAGCCUGCGGCUUAAUUUGAC
rnacentral:rRNA from 1 species